AUGCUGGAGGUAUCAGAAGUGCGAAUGCUGACAUAAGUAACGAUAAAGCGGGUGAAAAGCCCGCUCGCCGGAAGACCAAGGGUUCCUGUCCAACGUUAAUCGGGGCAGGGUGAGUCGACCCCUAAGGCGAGGCCGAAAGGCGUAGUCGAUGGGAAACAGGUUAAUAUUCCUGUACUUGGUGUUACUGCGAAGGGGGGACGGAGAAGGCUAUGUUGGCCGGGCGACGGUUGUCCCGGUUUAAGCGUGUAGGCUGGUUUUCCAGGCAAAUCCGGAAAAUCAAGGCUGAGGCGUGAUGACGAGGCACUACGGUGCUGAAGCAACAAAUGCCCUGCUUCCAGGAAAAGCCUCUAAGCAUCAGGUAACAUCAAAUCGUACCCCAAACCGACACAGGUGGUCAGGUAGAGAAUACCAAGGCGCUUGAGAGAACUCGGGUGAAGGAACUAGGCAAAAUGGUGCCGUAACUUCGGGAGAAGGCACGCUGAUAUGUAGGUGAAGUCCCUCGCGGAUGGAGCUGAAAUCAGUCGAAGAUACCAGCUGGCUGCAACUGUUUAUUAAAAACACAGCACUGUGCAAACACGAAAGUGGACGUAUACGGUGUGACGCCUGCCCGGUGCCGGAAGGUUAAUUGAUGGGGUUAGCGCAAGCGAAGCUCUUGAUCGAAGCCCCGGUAAACGGCGGCCGUAACUAUAACGGUCCUAAGGUAGCGAAAUUCCUUGUCGGGUAAGUUCCGACCUGCACGAAUGGCGUAAUGAUGGCCAGGCUGUCUCCACCCGAGACUCAGUGAAAUUGAACUCGCUGUGAAGAUGCAGUGUACCCGCGGCAAGACGGAAAGACCCCGUGAACCUUUACUAUAGCUUGACACUGAACAUUGAGCCUUGAUGUGUAGGAUAGGUGGGAGGCUUUGAAGUGUGGACGCCAGUCUGCAUGGAGCCGACCUUGAAAUACCACCCUUUAAUGUUUGAUGUUCUAACGUUGACCCGUAAUCCGGGUUGCGGACAGUGUCUGGUGGGUAGUUUGACUGGGGCGGUCUCCUCCUAAAGAGUAACGGAGGAGCACGAAGGUUGGCUAAUCCUGGUCGGACAUCAGGAGGUUAGUGCAAUGGCAUAAGCCAGCUUGACUGCGAGCGUGACGGCGCGAGCAGGUGCGAAAGCAGGUCAUAGUGAUCCGGUGGUUCUGAAUGGAAGGGCCAUCGCUCAACGGAUAAAAGGUACUCCGGGGAUAACAGGCUGAUACCGCCCAAGAGUUCAUAUCGACGGCGGUGUUUGGCACCUCGAUGUCGGCUCAUCACAUCCUGGGGCUGAAGUAGGUCCCAAGGGUAUGGCUGUUCGCCAUUUAAAGUGGUACGCGAGCUGGGUUUAGAACGUCGUGAGACAGUUCGGUCCCUAUCUGCCGUGGGCGCUGGAGAACUGAGGGGGGCUGCUCCUAGUACGAGAGGACCGGAGUGGACGCAUCACUGGUGUUCGGGUUGUCAUGCCAAUGGCACUGCCCGGUAGCUAAAUGCGGAAGAGAUAAGUGCUGAAAGCAUCUAAGCACGAAACUUGCCCCGAGAUGAGUUCUCCCUGACUCCUUGAGAGUCCUGAAGGAACGUUGAAGACGACGACGUUGAUAGGCCGGGUGUGUAAGCGCAGCGAUGCGUUGAGCUAACCGGUACUAAUGAACCGUGAGGCUUAACCUUACAACGCCGAAGCUGUU
rnacentral:rRNA from 1 species